UGAAGGGAGAUAUCAGUGUUCCUAUCUCAGCCAAGGUGUCUGGUCAGAGCACAGUGACCCCCUGGAGCUGGUGGUGACAGGAUACUACUAGUACAAC